rnacentral:rRNA from 1 species
GUAGGUGGCAAGCGUUGUCCGGGAAUUAUUGGGGCGUAAAGCGCGCGCAGGCGGUUCUUUAAGUCUGAUGUGAAAGCCCACGGGCUCAACCGUGGAGGGUCAUUGGAAGCUGGAGAACUUGAGUACAGAAGAGGAAAGCGGAAUUCCACGUGUAGCGGUGAAAUGCGUAGAGAUGUGGAGGAACACCAGUGGCGAAGGCGGCUUUCUGGUCUGUAACUGACGCUGAGGCGCGAAAGCGUGGGGAGCAAACAGGAUUAGAUACCCUGGUAGUCCACGCCGUAAACGAUGAGUGCUAAGUGUUAGGGGGUUUCCGCCCCUUAGUGCUGCAGCUAACGCAUUAAGCACUCCGCCUGGGGAGUACGGCCGCAAGGCUG